AGGCACCCUCUCCAGAUAUUUCUUGAUUUUCUCUUUGAUUUCUUCAUUGACGCAUUCAUUUUUGAGGAACAUGUUAUUGAGGUUUAGAUUUAGAUUGGCACAUAUUUGUAUUUCUUUUAGUUAUUUUCUUGUAAUUGAUUUCUAGUUUUGCCCCAUUGUGGUUGUUUUUCAUCUCUUACUGUAUUCCCAUUUCUAGAUUUCCAUUUGGUUCUCUCUGCUGAAAUUAUCCAUUUGAUUUUGCAUGUCCUAUACUUUUUGAGUUUAAACAUACAUUAGAGUCUUUAACAUAAAGUUAUAAUUACUUAAAAUCCUGUUAGAUAGUUUCAACAUCUAUGUAAUAUCUAUUUCUGAUGGUUACUUUAUAUCUUUGUAGUAUUUUAUUAGUUUCUUUCCUUUUCAUAUGCUUUGUGAUUAUUUGUUGAAGUGUAUAUGUCUUGGGUCAGACUCUAAACUGGGAUAACUAGAUUUUAUUGCUAGAAAUGGCAAUUCCCUAUGAGGCCUUUAGUUCACAGGUUCGAGUUUAACUAGUUAGGAGUUGGGCAGAAUUUGAGAAUUAAUUUUCUGUUACUACUCUCAGGGAAGAAUAGGCUUUCACUUUCUAAAGAGUUACCUUGUGUGUAGGAUACAGGUUCAUUUACCAGAGCUCUCUGUUCAUUUGAGUUUUAAGGGUUCUCCUUGUGUGUAUCUCAGAGAGGGUCUCUUUACAUGCUUUUAUUUAUCUCUUGUCUUUCUGUCAGCAAUAUUCCAUUAGUCCUUUUGUUAUUCCAGGCUUGUUAGCUUGGUGGUGAGAAGUUAUGGGCUGAAUAUGUUCUCUUACUCCAAUAUGGCCUUAGUGUUAAGUCGUCCCUGUGUCCUUGGGUCAUGGGGAUGUGGCCUUCUUGAUUCUCUUGGCCCCCACCACCCAUCCAGCUGUAGUUGUCAACUCAGUGCAUAAUCCUGCUCUUCCCCAGUAAUAGAGUAAGUGCCCAGUGGGGUUCACAGAGAAAAAGCCUGUAAAUGGGCAUCUGGGUAGCAUGGUCAGUUGAGCAUCCUACUCUUGGUUUUGGCUCAGGUCUUAAUCUCAGGGUCAGGACAUUGGGCCCUUCAGGGAGUUCUGCUCAGUGUAGAAUGUGCUUGAGACUCAUUCACCCCCUACCCAUCCUUUCCUCUCUAAAAUAAAUCAGUAAUCCUUAAAAAAAAAAGAAGGAAGGAGAAGAAAGAAAGAUGCUUGUAAAAAGGUACAAGUCUCCUCCAUGUCUGUGGUCCAAAGGGGUUUCUCAUUGUUGUGUCAGCUCACACUCUGUUUUCAUUAAUUAAAUUCCCUCUAUUCUGGUUGAUUUCUUACCUGUGGUCCAACUCAGGUAGGCAAAAAUAGACAUUUUCUCUCUUCCUGUGUGAAUUGUGUCUUCCUAGAUUUGAAGUACGUGGGUGCUUUGUAAUCAUGCCUCCCCUGUAAGGGAAAAAAUUGUGAAUUUGAAAUUAGUCUGACUCAUUUUCAUUGUAGGAGAGAAAGUGAUUUUCUUCCUUGCUUUAUGCAUCCUGGAGCAGAAGCAAAGUCAACCCACGUGUUUUUAAUGCCUUCAGUUUAUGUUGUGUUACCUCAUAGUCAUAAAGAACAUUUAUCCAUCACAUUUCAGGCCCUACAGCUUUAACUCUUUAAUUAAGCACAAGUUGUGAUACAAAAUAGUUACCAUUUUUUCUUUUCUGCUUUAAUAUACAUUUUACAUUUUCUUUCCUUUGCUUUUAUAUGUAUGCUAGUAUGUUCUAGUAAUACUUUAUUUUUAGUUUUGCAGUGUGUUGUGUUUGUGUAGUAUUAACUUUCUAGAGAAUAAGAACAAACAGUGUUUUAUUCUUGUUAAUAUUCACAUUUCAAGGCUUAGAGCAUUAAUAAACUAAAAUAAGCAUAAUUUUUACUUUUACUUUGCUUUUCUUUUUUACUUCUACAAAAUCUAAUACAAGGUAAUGUAUGCAGUAGGCAUAUUUUAACAUCAGUUCUCAACAGUGAACCUGGGAAGAAUUUGUUUCCAUAUUUCUUUCCUGUGCUACCCCAAUUCUAAUAACUUCAGUCUGAACAGAAAUGUGCUC